UCUCAACUAUUUUGGAAGAGAUGCAUUUAUUAGAUAAAAAACCAAUACAUACUUUUUCAAGUAUGAAAUUUGGGUGAUUUACAAUAACUUAGCAAAUCGCAUAGUGAAAACAGGCGAUAAAUCAUUCAAGUUUCUGACCUAUCAGCUUUCGACGGUAUGGUAUUGGCUUACCGUGGCAGUGACGGUUAACGGGGGAUUAGGGUUCGAUUCCGGAGAGGGAGCCUGAGAAACGGCUACCACAUCUAAGGAAGGCAGCAGGCGCGCAAAUUACCCAAUUCUAACAGCAUAAGAGAGGUAGUGACAAGAAAUAACAAUACAAGGCAGUUAAAAUGCUUUGUAAUUGGAAUGAUAGAAAUUUAAACACUUUUUAAAGUAUCAAUUGGAGGGCAAGUCUGGUGCCAGCAGCCGCGGUAAUUCCAGCUCCAAUAGCGUAUAUUAAAAUUGUUGCAGUUAAAAAGCUCGUAGUUGAAUUUCUGUUAAAAACAACCGGUCUGCUUUUAAUAAAAGUGGUAUCUUGGUGUGUUUUUAGCAAUAAUGUCCUUUGAAAUGUUUUUUACUUUAUUGUAAUAAAUAAUAUUCAGGAUUUUUACUUUGAGAAAAUUAGAGUGUUUCUAGCAGGCUAACGCUUU
rnacentral:rRNA from 1 species